rnacentral:rRNA from 1 species
GUUAAGCGACUAAGCGUACACGGUGGAUGCCCUGGCAGUCAGAGGCGAUGAAGGACGUGCUAAUCUGCGAUAAGCGUCGGUAAGGUGAUAUGAACCGUUAUAACCGGCGAUUUCCGAAUGGGGAAACCCAGUGUGAUUCGUCACACUAUCAUUAACUGAAUCCAUAGGUUAAUGAGGCGAACCGGGGGAACUGAAACAUCUAAGUACCCCGAGGAAAAGAAAUCAACCGAGAUUCCCCCAGUAGCGGCGAGCGAACGGGGAGCAGCCCAGAGCCUGAAUCAGUGUGUGUGUUAGUGGAAGCGUCUGGAAAGGCGUGCGAUACAGGGUGACAGCCCCGUACACAAAAAUGCACAUACUGUGAGCUCGAUGAGUAGGGCGGGACACGUGGUAUCCUGUCUGAAUAUGGGGGGACCAUCCUCCAAGGCUAAAUACUCCUGACUGACCGAUAGUGAACCAGUACCGUGAGGGAAAGGCGAAAAGAACCCCGGCGAGGGGAGUGAAAAAGAACCUGAAACCGUGUACGUACAAG